AGAUCACAACUGGAGUGCUGUGUCCAGUUCUGGGCUCCCCAGUACCAGGGAGAUGUCAACAAGGAGCUGCAAGUUUGCUGAAGUGCCUUGACAACGAUUAAGGAAUCAGAGCAUCCAACCUACAAGGAGAGGCUGAGAGAGCUGGGACUGUUCAGCUUUGAGAAGAGAAGGCUCAGGCAGGGAAAUCUUUUCAAUGCGAAAAUACACCUGAUACAGGGAGUAAAGAAGACAGCAAGACAAUUUCCAGUGGUAUCCAACAGGACAAGACACAAUGGGCACAAAACACAGGAGAAUGUACUCGAAGGAAAAAACGCAUGUUUUUCUGAACCCCAGAACAUGUUCCUCAGAGGGGUUGUGGAAUCCUCAUCUUUGGAGCUAUCCAAACCACAAAGGGGCACAGCCCUGAGCAGCCUGCUCCAGCUAACCCUGCUUUGAACAAUGGGUAAGGAUGUCUCUAAAAUCUGACACUUAGAAGUGCAGCAAAUCCACCAGUUUUGGGUAGUCCAGCAAUGUCAAUGUGCCACUCAACAGGCUGUGAAGUUCCUGAAAGCUGGUUGGGAGCACCAUUGAAUUGCAGGGUUGGCUGAUGUGAGGCUCCUUCCAGGACCUCAGCUUUCCCAGACUUUUGUUCCUCCUCUCAUGGCUAAGCAGAACCUCUGAACCCAGAGCUAACUGGAGAGGGGCCAACAAUCUAGAAACAAGUCCUAGAGUGGGGAAAUUGUCCCCCCUCUGCUAACAGUGCUUGAUGAAGUACUCUGCACACGUGUGGAUGAGGUUGCUGCUCUGUUGUGCUUGGAGAAAGUUUCCAUCUGCUCCAGUGCAAACCCCAGCAUGGAUCUGUCCAACAGCUCUGGUGUCAAACAAGGCUCAGCUCUGGACACUGUGCAAAGCAGGACUCCAAAGGAGUGAGACAUUUGUGCCCCCUCCAGCUGAUUACAAAUACCCCGUGAGAACCCGUGUCACACAGUGCCUUCCCCUGUCCCCCUUCUCACCUUUACAGUGCUCUACAGUACACAGAGUUAAAUUACUUUUUAUUUUUUUAAUAUACUGCCAUUAGGCCAAUGCACAUUACAGUCAAUGGAGAUAAUGUUCCUGACCCAAGAAGAUUACAACUGAAAUUAAGGCGAAUCCAUCAAAAUAUGACACAAAAGAGAGGGGUAAUAACACAGCACAAAAACCGCCACACUAAUAAGUGUUUUUCCACUGCAUAAAAUACACAAUCAUUAUAUUGAUCCUUCUGCUUUAAUUCCAAUGAGUGAGAACAGACACUAAUUACUUUCCUAAAUUGGGGCCAAAACAGUGCACUUGUUAUUUGGACAAGCAAGAUGGUCUCAAGGCUUCAAAUGUGCCAUAAACCCACAGAACAAACCCCAAACUCUCAGCACAAGCGAGACCAUCUUCUUUAUGGGAGCAAAGCUCUUUCUUCACAACGGGAAGGGCUGUGUAAUAAACCUGUCACAUUGUGUAAUAUGCUGGAAAGGAUUGCUCGCUUCAUGGUGUGGUAAAUUGUAGAGUUCACAUCGUCUAGCUUUAAAAUAAAAAUGAAAACAAGGAUAAAAGAUAUUUCCCUUUAUUGUUUCAAUUUUAUGUACAAACUGUAUGGCAGAAAUACGUGCACAUUUGGCAUCAUGGCUGAAUUCUCUGUUCCUGCAGCUGGGUCCCAGUCUAAUCCUUAUUUUAAUGUAAAUAAAUGAGGCAUCAGUUUUAUCUCCCUCUCUCUCAGCAGUAACAAUAAAACAGAGAAAUCACCACUUCAUUUCCAACGUCUGGUGCAGAGCUGGGACCGAGCAAGGAUGAGCCUGUGGGUCUAUGGACCCACCAGUGCUGCCAAAGAUGGAAAAAACAAAACAGGAAAAGAGAGGACACAUUGCCCUUCCCAGCAGAAAUGUCAAGAACUCGA